CCUCUUUGGACUUUUGCUUCUGGCUAUUUCCUUUCUUCACUGUUCACUAUCUCUUGCAUUUGGUUCUCCCACUUCUUCGCUGCCGGAAAUUCCAAUCGAGUUCGUCAAGAAGCUGCCGUUUCCUCUUUAAUCGAUCUGGAUUUUAGUUAUGUGGGCGUAACAUCUCCUGGAGUCUCUAAGCAAUUCUGGGUAUCUUUGUCAGCAUGCGUUGGCUGGGUCUCUCUGUUGAUGUAUUUCGCAAAGUUGUCCGCUUGAAUGUGUAUUGUAAAGUUAUCCUGUAGAGUAAUAUUCCAUUAAGUUAUCCGCUUUGUUAUUUUUAAUCCUUUGGUCUAAACCACAACCUAUGGAAGCCAACCACUGUAUGAUCAUUUCUUCUGAUAAGUAUAGAAUUGGUUAAAGGAUAGGAAGUGAAGAAGGUCCAGUAUUGUCUCUUGAGCAUCUCCUUGUUUGUUUCUUCCCUUUUCUAGCUGAUUUCCAUUUGGUCAUAUAAUUUGGUAUCGUCUUUAUUCUAUUUUAUUGGGUAUAUUUUUGGCGUGCACAUUUUGAUUGGGUAGUGAGGCAAAGAAUCAAUAGACGUUAUGGUGUGCCAAGCGGCAAGCCAAACAAGAUUUCGGGCAUUAAAACAUGAGAAUGGCAUUGAAGGUGAACCAACAAUCAUUGUUAGAGUGAUAGCAUGCUUUCAACCUUUGCACGAUUGUCAGGCUGAGUACUUUCGUCAUUUACUUAAGCCCGUCACGUAGAUCGAUCGAUUUUAUUCUGCAUUUCUUUCUCGUUAAGCUGGAGUUUUUGGUUUUCCUUUUUAAUCCUUUGUACCUCAGAAGUGCAAAUUAAAGAAGAUCCCUGUCAGAACACCAUAAAGUCUCCUGGUCAUUGUUUUGUUGGAUGGUUAAGGCUGACAGCUCCUGGCCUUGUCCACAGAAUGUGGCUUGGCAAGCACAUCAUUUAAAUUGCUCCCCCACAUCACGGGAGCCAAGGUUAUGUGGCCUUCCAGCAGACCUAAAUACUAGCAUGUGCAACUUUCCUGGACACAAGGUCUUUCCUGGAUUCACAUUUCCUGGUUUCUUGAAUCUUGGGACUGUGCAAACAGAGGAAUUGCGAGGAUUCCUGCAGUAUCCCAACCAUCACCACUCUGGAGAUAUCCAAUCAGUUUCAGAACAAUGUUUGAAAGAAAGUGAUAUUGGAGGGGCCAUGCCACACGAGAAUCCUGCAUCUUUACAGAAAAAGUUUCUUAUUUUUGACCAGUCUGGUGAUAAGACGAGGCUGUUCUACAGCCCAAUUUUCCCCUUGGU